rnacentral:rRNA from 1 species
CCUACGGGAGGCAGCAGUGAGGAAUAUUGGUCAAUGGCCGGAAGGCUGAACCAGCCAAGCCGCGUGAAGGACGAAGGUGCCAAGCAUUGUAAACUUCUUUUGUCAAGGGACAAAAUCAGGCUCGAGAGCCUGACCGAGGGUACUUGAAGAAAAAGCAUCGGCUAACUCCGUGCCAGCAGCCGCGGUAAUACGGAGGAUGCGAGCGUUAUCCGGAUUUAUUGGGUUUAAAGGGCGUGUAGGCGGGCAUGCAAGCCAGAAGUGAAAUCUGGGGGCUUAACCCCCAAACUGCUUUUGGAACUGCGUGU